UGCGCGUGUAGUUCAAGGCAACCCCUGGCUAUAUGGUCUGGGUGACAUGAGAUGCUGUCUCAAAAGAAUAAAACAAAAGCAAAGACAGGAAAAAAAAAUUCACUCCAAAUAAACACCCACCCUAAACAAACUCCAAACAAGACUCAAAGCCCAACAACAGUUAAAUAUUUGUUUUGUCUAAAGUUGGAGCUGGAGUCGUGAUGACUCACAGUUCAAAGGAACUGCGUGAGAGUGGCCCCCACGAUUUUCCUGAAGGCUUUUUUGUUCUCUCUGGGGCUAAUGAGUUGGCUGUGUAGGCAGUGACUUGAUAAAGGGAAAUGGACGGAAUCAUUAAGCCUCUCUCGCCCGUCUCCUCUUUGCAGACUACAAAACCCAACUGGAGGAAAUUCCACCCAAAACUUUAAUAUGGAAAAAGGAGAAAAACGAAAACAUGCAGAUCCCUUCACAAAGCUGUGCAAAGUGACUGUGUGAUUGCAUGAGGCAAGCUGCUCCACGGAACCACCCAGAAGACAUGCUCUGGAAUCAGGUUGACGAUCUCCAAAUGUUAGUUUACAUUCUCAGGUUCAUCCAAACGUUAUCUACCCAAGGGGUCUUGAGAAGAACGAGGAGACAGUGGACAGAGCCUUCUUAUACUCUGACCUGGCCAAGAGAGAGGAUCCUGGUGGGCAGAUUUCUCAUCUAUGAGGCCAAUCUGAUCGUCAAACUGAUGUAAGUCCUGCCAUCUUGAAUUUUCAUUUUUCUUAUUGUUGUGAUGGAAUGCUUCACAAAGGCAGCUUAAUGAAGGAUGGAUUUAAUUUCAUAUUAUUGGGUGGUGGGGAAGGCAUGGCGGCGGGCAUAUGAGGAAGCUGGUCACAUUACAUCUUCAGUUAGGAGGCAGGGAGAGAUGAAUGGUGGGACCCUGCUUACCCUCUCCCUUUUAUUCACGUUGUGA
rnacentral:sRNA from 1 species